GGUCAAGUGGUGAUGGCUUACACAUUUAAUCCUAACACUUGGGAGAUAGAGGCAGCCAGAUCACUUUGAGUUUAAAGCCAGCCUGUUCUACAGAGUUACUUAUAGCCAGUGCUACACAGAGAAACCCGUCACACACACACACACACACACACACACACACACACACACACACACAACCUAACUAAAAGAGAUGAUAUUGCCAGACAAUGGUGGCACAUGCCUUUAAUCUCAGCACUUGGGAGGCAGAGGCAGGAGGAUUUCUGAGUUCGAGGCCAGCCUGGUCUACAGCAUGAGUUCGAGGACAGCCAAGGAUAUACAGAGAAACCCUGUCUCAAAAAAAAAAAAAAAAAAAAAAAAAAAAAAAGGAUGCUAUUAUUCCCAAGCAUUUUUAUGAACUAUCAGAAGUGAUGCAGGGAAAGGGAAGCUUGCUUGACCUUAAAAGACUGAAAUUGGCGGGAGGAUGUAUGAGAACCAGGAGAAAUGGCCUUGGAAAGGAAGGCCCCAUUGAUUAUAAGGGUAACGAGGUGAAGGGGUAUGCAGGGGUGUGCAAAUGUAGGAGGGAAGAAACCUGAGUUAGUAGGACAGCCCUGCUGGGAUAGGGUGCCCAUUUAAGGCUUGUGAUCAUUAGUGUAAAGUUAAACCAGAUGACCCAGUCUGUGUUUUUUCUCCAGUAGCAUUCAGCUUUUAAAGUAUGUGUGUUUUUUAUCUAUAGAGUGUUUUGCCUACAUAUGUGUGUCUGUGUACCACGUGUAUGCAGUGCCCAUGGAGGCCAGAAGAGGGGAGGUACAUCCCUUGGAACUGGAGUUAACAGAAUGUGAUAAUCCACCAUGUGGAUGCUAACCCUAGGUCCUCUGGAAGAGCAGCCAGUGCUACUAACCAUCAAGCCACUUUUCUGGUCUGCAUUCAGCUUCUUGAAAUACAGACAUGAAAAAAGGGAUAGUUUGGUUUCUCAAUAUCUGGACACCAAGUUUUUCACUCUUAGCCCUAGUUACUUGCUGUAUAUUAAAUACUGUUUUUUAAAUGUGUGAAAUAUUUGAAACUUUACCUCAGAUCACCUUGAAAGUAAUUUACAAUAAUAGCUGAUGUGUGGGCAAAUAAAGGCAUUGUCUUUGGAAAGAAGGG
rnacentral:lncRNA from 1 species